CCCACCUGUAACCUGAUCCUUCGGAUCCUCACAGGAGAGUCAUGACAGUAGUUACAUGUCAAUGGUAUCGAAACGGGACAAGUGAACUAAAGAUCUCGUUUGUAUUUUCGAAAUGUUUUGUUUGUAUUUUAAAGUCCAUCAGGACUAGCCAGACAGUGACGUUAAAGUCAGUGACUCGUCAGGAGCCUACCGAAUCGCAUUGGAACCAGCCAGCACCAGACCAGGAGGAAAUCCUUCUUUGUUGAAAACACUGACUGCAGGAGGGAGGGGGGUGGCCAACGAACAUCAAUAUGGAGGCCCAGCUAUCAGCUGCUGCACAAACAGACCUGCCUUAUCUUUGCCCACACAUGAGGACAAGAAAAACCGUAGGGAAGUAACAGACUCCCUUGGACCACUGUUGACCUCUAUCUUGACUGUACAAGUCUUGACAUUGAAUGUGCAGCGUCAGCAGGAAAGUACCCUGAUAGGCUAGACUUUUGACAAAUUAACCACCUUUGCGCUAGUUCAGCACUUUUUUGAGAUGGAGAUUUGUACACAGUGUAAAGUGGUUGAUAGGUAGUGCCUGACAGGGGGCCAGUCCCGGAUACAGGUGAGCGAGCCUGUUAAAAGAUGGACUCAGGCAAGGGGAGUCAAUUGAAAUGGUCGAACUAGCACACCGCUCCACAAUGAGCUUCAUAAAAGACACUACACAAGAGAGGGGGAGUCUGAUAUGGAAUGGUACUGAUGCAGAGGGAAAUUAGGCUAAAUGACCAUACAGUAUGCAUAUAACCUAGGCCUACAACACGGAAUGACGCUUCUUGUUCAAAGGCAGACCCUGGGUUAACAAACAGGACAUUCUUUAAAAGAGUCCCAUCUGCAAAUAAAUGGAGAAGAUACUUUUUUUAACAGCAUUCAAUGGGAAAGAGUGUAAUAUAAUGAGGCGUCUAUAUGUCCUCGAUUUACAGUCAGGUUCACAAUUAUUGGCACCUUUGCUAAAGAUAUUGUAUGCUCCAAAUAAAAUUGCUAUUAUAUUAUUUUAGGUGAUGAGAAAAAAAAAUCUGAGAUAGGGGUCAAAAUUAUUGGCACCCCUGUGUUCAAUACCGUAGCACUCUCCCCUUGUGAGGAUAACAACACUGAGCCUUUUAUAAAGAUGUUUUAUGAGGUUGGAGAACACGUUGGGGCUACUACUGGUGUGUGUGGCCAAAGAGCUCUAUUUUCAUGCCGGUACUAUGGUCAGACAGAGUACUUUGGCCACGGACACCAGUGGUGGGUUUGGCAUUGAAAAACAGAAGCUUAUGCAGAAAAGUAUAUCAUACCUACAGUAAAAUAUGGUGGUGGAUCUUUGAUGUCAUGGGGCUAUUUUGCUUCCACCAGUCCUGGGGCCCUUGUUAAGGUCAACAGCAUUAUGAACUUUACCAAGUACCGUGACAUUUUAGCCAAGACCCCUGGUUGCCCUCACCAGGAGGCUGACACUUGGCUGCAAAUGGAUCUUCCAGCAAAAAACUAAAACCCCAAGCAUUAAUCAAAAUUAACAAAGAAAUUGUUAAUUUACCACAAAAAUCAACAUUUUGAAAUGGCCAUCUCAGUCGCCGGACUUGAACCACAUAGAAAACGUGUGGCGUGAAUUGAAGAGGGCAGUCCAUUAGCGCAGACAAAGGAUAUCAAGGAUCUGGAAAGAUUCUGUAUGGAGGAAUGGUCUAAAAUGUUCUCCAAUCUCAUAAAACAUUGGAUAAAAAGACUUGAGUAUUGAAAACAGGGGUGCCAAUAAUUUUGACCAGUAUCUUGAGAUUUGUUUGUAUUACUUGUUAAACAAAAUAUUUCUCUGAGCAAUUGUAGUAUAAAAUAAAUGUCCCUUUGUUUUCUUGUAUAGAAUAUAGCUCAGUAUAAUUACAGUAUUUUUUGCUCAUCUUUAUUAAGGGUGCCAAAAAUGAUGGACCUGACUGUAUGUCCAAUUAAAAAGAGUUAGAUCCACAAUCUGUCAUUCCAAACAUAUCUGCAAUUUUUAUAAAUGUAUUUUCUUGUCCUUGCAA